CAGAUGUGAGACAUACAGUCAACAAUGCAGCACCACAGCAAGAUACUGUGACGACUCCACAGGCCAGAGAUCAUCAGAAGCCUGUGAAACGGUUAAAAGGACGACAACCUAGCAAGAGAAAGAUGUGGGAGAAAGAGGAGAUUGCCGCUGUCGAAAGGCACAUGAUGUCCUUCAUCACAACAUGCCGUGUUCCAGGAAAAAGUGACUGUGAUAAGUGCCUUAGCGCAGAGAAGACCGCUCUUAGGGACAGAAAUUGGCUAGCCAUUAAAUUUUACAUCAAGAAUCGCAUCACAGCUCUGAAGAGGACAAUGUAAAGUUCAAAACUAGUAGACAAAUGUUAUUUGUCAAUUUGUUGUUUUUGUUUAUAUAGAAUCAAGCUCACAAAAAGUUGGCUGUUCAGUUAUUUGACAGGUUCAAAUAUCUCACUUGAUUUUGUAUCAGUCAGUAAAAUUGUGACAUUGGUUUACCAACAUAACUUUUAUGUUGUUACAUUUACUAACAUGUUGAUUAGUAAUCAGCAAUCUCUGUGAGAGGUUGAAGAAUCUGAGCAGGUUUUUUUGUUUGUUGGGGUUUUUUUUGCAAUAAAACCUCUCAGUGACGUGACCUAUA